CACGUAGGGUGCGAGCGUUGUCCGGAAUUAUUGGGCGUAAAGAGCUCGUAGGCGGUGUGUCGCGUCGGCCGUGAAAACCUGCAGCUUAACUGUGGGCUUGCGGUCGAUACGGGCAUCACUGGAGUUCGGCAGGGGAGACUGGAAUUCCUGGUGUAGCGGUGGAAUGCGCAGAUAUCAGGAGGAACACCGAUGGCGAAGGCAGGUCUCUGGGCCACUACUGACGCUGAGAAGCGAAAGCAUGGGGAGCGAACAGG
rnacentral:rRNA from 1 species